rnacentral:misc_RNA from 1 species
AAAUGCGAUAAGUAAUGUGAAUUGCAGAAUUCAGUGAAUCAUCGAAUCUUUGAACGCACAUUGCGCCCGCCAGUAUUCUGGCGGGCAUGCCUGUUCGAGCGUCAUUUCAACCAUCAAGCCCCCGGGCUUGUGUUGGGGACCUGCGGCUGCCGCAGGCCCCGAAAACCAGUAGCGGGCUCGCUGUCACACCGGGCGUAGUAGAUUUUUCGUCUCGCCCAGGGCGUGCUGCGGGUUCCGGCCGUUAAAAAGCCUCUCUUUUUAACCCAAGGUUGACCUCGGAUCAGGUAGGAAGACCCGCUGAACUUAAGC